GCAUUGUUGUUUUGCCAGUUUGGGGAUGGGGGCGAUUCUGUCAUUUUGUUACUGUUGUAGUGUUGUAUACUUGUUUGUAUACAUACAGCACGGACUAAUUUGAAGGUUUGAAAAAUAGACCGAAGAAUCUAAAUGCAUCGCGUUGAUGAUCUUCAUUGGCUGGUUACCACAAUCAGUGAAAACUGAAACAUUCGCUUAUGCGGAACAGAUAUAGCCACGUGGUUUUUGUCUUUCGUGCCAUAAAAUGUCACCCAUUAUUUCUACCAGGGCUGUACCAAUGUUGAGAAUGAAACAGGUGCUGAAACGUCGGGAAUCACUUGCAGACAAGGUACAUGAACGGAUAUCACCGCCUUGAGUGCCUUUUCCUCAGUGUAGAAGUUGAACUGGCGUCUAUUAUCACCUUGAGGAUUUCGUCUGUUGUGAUGUGUCAUGCUGCGUGGUGGCUUUUUGGUGAAAUUUGACAGGGUGAAUAUUACGAGGAAACGUAGCCUACCGUUGACUAUUUUGUUCAAAAUGUGCCAUCGAAAUGACAC